UUUAUUAUAAGCAAUCAAAGGAUUUUUUUGUAUUUACAUCAUCACAUGUAUAAACAUCUCAAUGAAAUGAUUUUACCUUUGAGCAUUACUUUUUUUACGAUAUAAAUAUUACUGAGCAUAAAGAUUUUCAAAUAAAACUAAUUGCUAACACAAAACAUGUUUUUGCAUUAAAAUAAACUUGGGAGAUCGCGAUCGAAGGGGACUUUUUAACUCUAAGUCGAAAAGAAAUGACAAUGCAAUGGGGAAAAAAACCCAACUAAAACGGCAAAAAGAUAAUUAAGUAGACAAAACACCACACAGAGACCCAAAGACUGAACAAAAUGAAAUCCUUAAAAACUGCGUAUACUAAUGAAAAAGCUUUUGUUCCAAUAUUGGUAAUGAUAAUCAAAUAUCAUGGAUCUCUGCCACGUUAUGGAUAUAUAUGGAUUUUUUUUUU
rnacentral:lncRNA from 1 species